UCAAGAAUAAUCUUUCCUACUUAAUAAAAAUACUUGAGUGUGCGAAUCCAACAUCCACACCCCUGGGCUUCGUUGCUGGUAGGAACAAUCCCUCUUGGACCAGCAGGUGUGCCAUGCUCAGGGGAGACAUCGAUGGCUCAAGACGACUCUCUUCUUCAGGGCCGGCGCAGAGGGCAAGCCACUGAAACCACCGAUUUGGGCUUCAAAAUGCACCCAAAUUUAUCGGGCCGGCACUGCUCACAUGUACCAAAUCGCCUCCAAGAGUUUGGCUCAAAGCUCUUAUGGAACCAUUGUUGAUGUACUUUAUCUAUCUGUUUGUUUACCUUUGUGUGGCAUUGGGAAAUGCCCUUCUUUGUUGUAUUUUAAACUUUGGGAUUUCAGUAUCCUUUUAUCUUUGUACUUGGUUUCUUUCUUAGUUGAAUGAAAACAAGUCUUUGUC